UUUUUUUUUUUUUUUUUUGUCUUUCGUGUAUAUUGCUUUUAUUAAAACUGAACUUCUUUUUUAUUUUCAGCACCGACACAGGAAACUACACAAGAAAAUGGAGUUGCAGCUGAGAAUUCGAUUGAGGAAAUCAAAACAUUUAUUCGGGAAACCAUGCAUAUCGAAUCCGAGGUGUGUACUGGCCGUGCGCAUAGAGUUGGGACAUCGAGAAGAGGAAGGCCUAGGCCGAUGGUCGCCAAGUUCGGAAGGUUUAGUGAUCGAGAAACGGUACGGAAAUCGUCAAGAGUUUUGAACGGAUCAAGUUCUUUAUUGUCUCCGAACAAUUUCCAAGGGAAGUAAACGAAAGACGUAAGCUUCUAGCGUCCCACAGGAGUGAAGCCAUCCGAGCAGUUAAGCGUGCUGUAAAGAACAAGGACAAACUGUAUAUCGAUUGAGUUCUCUCCCAGCCUCCGACUGCUAAUGAAGUACGUGCUACUGAACUCCGAUCUCCGGCUACCAAUGCGAAGGAAGAAAAAACGAGAAAAGAAGAAGAGCCUCUGGACCUGAGGAAUUGUACGAGAGAUCAGUACGAAGACAGGGACAAAGAAGAUGACCCUAUGUUGACAACAAUGCUGGUGGGCGACCAUUUAGAACGCACAAUGGUACAACCCAUCAAGAUGGUUUCUUUGAAGGAAAGGUGUGUAAAGAUAAAGGAAGACAUAAGAAAAAUUGAGAAACUGCUUUCUAAUUUAAAAAAUAAAUUUACCCUAUUAAACAAACAAAACAAAAAUCAAUCGAAUGUACGCUUGAUGUUAUUGUAAAUGUACUUUUUUUAUUCAGUACAAUGUACACUUGAUAUUAUUGUAACUACUCUUUUUUAAAUUCAAUACAGUGUACACUUGAUAUUAUUAUUAUUAUUAUUAUUAUUAUUAUUAUUGUUGUUGUUGUCGAAAAAAACCUUUCAUCUUGUUUUCCUACGCACA